AUUGAACGCUGGCGCAUGCCUUACACAUGCAAGUCGAACGGUAACGCGGGGCAACCUGGCGACGAGUGGCGAACGGGUGAGUAAUAUAUCGGAACGUGCCCAAUAGUGGGGGAUAGCCCGGCGAAAGCCGGAUUAAUACCGCAUACGACCUGAGGGUGAAAGCGGGGGAUCGCAAGACCUCGCGCUAUUGGAGCGGCCGAUAUCAGAUUAGGUAGUUGGUGGGGUAAAGGCCUACCAAGCCUACGAUCUGUAGCUGGUCUGAGAGGACGACCAGCCACACUGGGACUGAGACACGGCCCAGACUCCUACGGGAGGCAGCAGUGGGGAAUUUUGGACAAUGGGCGCAAGCCUGAUCCAGCCAUGCCGCGUGCGGGAAGAAGGCCUUCGGGUUGUAAACCGCUUUUGUCAGGGAAGAGGCGCAAGUGACGGUACCUGCAGAAGAAGCACCGGCUAACUACGUG
rnacentral:rRNA from 1 species